UAGGCCUCCAUUUCCUCAAGUGUAAAAAGGGAAGAAUAAUGGGACGCUGUCUGAGGAUGGCAAUGAGGUUUAAAUGAGAGGAUCCAGAGCUGAGCCUGGUUUACAGGAUGUGUUCUGCACAGGGUCUGCAGUGUCCACUUCCCACCUCAAGUCUCAGAGAGCAGCAAAGCAUCAAUGCAAUUUUCUCAGUUGGCCUCAGGAGACAGGCAAGAGCAAGGUGAGAAUGAGAUUAGGGACCUGCUCUUGGUGAAGGUUCAGCAAUAGACAGCAAAACUUUUGCUCUUGGGAAACAGAUGGAGAGACUGGAUGUCUGGGGAUGCUAGGCCCCAGAUUAGCCACAUAUGCUGCAGAAACAUCUCAGGACAUGUGGACGGAGUGAACAUCUUUCAAAAA